rnacentral:rRNA from 1 species
CUAUCACUCCUACGGGAGGCAGCAGUGGGGAAUAUUGCACAAUGGGGGAAACCCUGAUGCAGCCAUGCCGCGUGUGUGAAGAAGGCCUUCGGGUUGUAAAGCACUUUCAGUAGGGAGGAAGGUAGUGUAGUUAACACCUGCAUUAUUUGACGUUACCUACAGAAGAAGCACCGGCUAACUCCGUGCCAGCAGCCGCGGUAAUACGGAGGGUGCGAGCGUUAAUCGGAAUUACUGGGCGUAAAGCGCAUGCAGGCGGCCUGUUAAGUCAGAUGUGAAAGCCCGGGGCUUAACCUCGGAAUUGCAUUUGAAACUGGCAGGCUAGAGUCUUGUAGAGGGGGUAGAAUUUCAGGUGUAGCGGUGAAAUGCGUAGAGAUCUGAAGGAAUACCAGUGGCGAAGGCGGCCCCCUGGACAAAGACUGACGCUCAGAUGCGAAAGCGUGGGGAGCAAACAGGAUUAGAUACCCUGGUAG